UCUGGCGACCGGCGCACGGGUGAGUAACACGUAUCCAACCUGCCGAUGACUCGGGGAUAGCCUUUCGAAAGAAAGAUUAAUACCCGAUGGCAUAGUUCUUCCGCAUGGUAGAACUAUUAAAGGAUUUCGGUCAUCGAUGGGGAUGCGUUCCAUUAGGUUGUUGGUGAGGUAACGGCUCACCAAGCCUUCGAUGGAUAGGGGUUCUGAGAGGAAGGUCCCCCACAUUGGAACUGAGACACGGUCCAAACUCCUACGGGAGGCAGCAUG
rnacentral:rRNA from 1 species